rnacentral:rRNA from 1 species
CGGAGGAAAAGAAACCAACAGGGAUUGCCCUAGUAACGGCGAGUGAAGCGGCAACAGCUCAAAUUUGAAAUCUGGCGCAAGCCCGAGUUGUAAUUUGUAGAGGAUGCUUCUAGGUAGCGACCGGUCUAAGUUCCUUGGAACAGGACGUCAUAGAGGGUGAGAAUCCCGUAUGUGACCGGCCCGCACCUUCUACGUAGCUCCUUCGAAGAGUCGAGUUGUUUGGGAAUGCAGCUCUAAAUGGGAGGUAAAUUUCUUCUAAAGCUAAAUACCGGCCAGAGACCGAUAGCGCACAAGUAGAGUGAUCGAAAGAUGAAAAGCACUUUGGAAAGAGAGUUAAAAAGCACGUGAAAUUGUUGAAAGGGAAGCGCUUACAACCAGACUUCUGGGCGGUGUUCCGCCGGUCUUCUGACCGGUCUACUCGCCGUCCCGAGGCCAACAUCAUCUGGGACCGCUGGAUAAGACCUCAGGAAUGUAGCUCCCCUCGGGGAGUGUUAUAGCCUGUGGUGAUGCAGCGCGUCUCGGGUGAGGUCCGCGCUUCGGCAAGGAUGUUGGCGUAAUGGUUGUCAGCGGCCCGUCUUGAAACACGGACCAAGGAGUCUAACAUCUAUGCGAGUGUUCGGGUGUCAAACCCCUACGCGUAAUGAAAGUGAACGGAGGUGGGAAGGGUAACCUGCACCAUCGACCGAUCCUGAUGUCCUCGGAUGGAUUUGAGUAAGAGCAUAGCUGUUGGGACCCGAAAGAUGGUGAACUAUGCCUGAAUAGGGUGAAGCCAGAGGAAACUCUGGUGGAGGCUCGCAGCGGUUCUGACGUGCAAAUCGAUCGUCAAAUUUGGGUAUAGGGGCGAA